rnacentral:rRNA from 1 species
AGACUUUGAUUAUGGCUCAGAUUGAACGCUAGCGGGAUGCUUUACACAUGCAAGUCGAACGGCAGCGCGGACUUCGGUCUGGCGGCGAGUGGCGAACGGGUGAGUAAUGUAUCGGAACGUGCCCAGUAGCGGGGGAUAACUACGCGAAAGCGUAGCUAAUACCGCAUACGCCCUACGGGGGAAAGGGGGGGAUCUUCGGACCUCUCACUAUUGGAGCGGCCGAUAUCGGAUUAGCUAGUUGGUGGGGUAAAGGCCUACCAAGGCGACGAUCCGUAGCUGGUUUGAGAGGACGACCAGCCACACUGGGACUGAGACACGGCCCCAGACUCCCUACCGGGAGGCAGCAGUGGGGGAAUUUUUGGACAAUGGGGGGCAACCCCUUGAUCCCAGCCAUUCCCGGCGUG